UGGGGAAUCUUCCGCAAUGGACGAAAGUCUGACGGAGCAACGCCGCGUGAGUGAAGAAGGUUUUCGGAUCGUAAAGCUCUGUCUUUUGGGGCGAACGUGAGUAUGGUGAACAAUCAUAGUCAGUGACGGUACCAAAGGAGGAAGCCACGGCUAACUACGUGCCAGCAGCCGCGGUAAUACGUAGGUGGCAAGCGUUGUCCGGAAUUAUUGGGCGUAAAGAGCGCGUAGGCGGGAUAGUCAGUCUGUUGUAAAGUGCGGGGCUCAACCCCGUGAUGGCAAUGGAAACAGCUAUUCUUGAGUGCAGGAGAGGAAAGUGGAAUUCCCAGUGUAGCGGUGAAAUGCGUAGAUAUUGGGAGGAACACCAGUGGCGAAGGCGACUUUCUGGACUGUGUCUGACGCUGAGGCGCGAAAGCCAGGGGAGCGAACGGGAUUAGAUACCCCGGUAGUCCUGGCCGUAAACGAUGGGUACUAGGUGUGGGAGGUAUCGACCCCUUCCGUGCCGGAGUUAACGCAAUAAGUACCCCGCCUGGGGAGUACGGUCGCAAGACUGAAACUCAAAUGAAUUGACGGGGUCAUAGCUGUUUCCUG
rnacentral:rRNA from 1 species